rnacentral:rRNA from 1 species
GUAGGGAAUUUUCGGCAAUGGGCGGAAGCCUGACCGAGCAACGCCGCGUGAGGGAAGAAGGUCUUCGGAUCGUAAACCUUUGUCUUUGGGGACGAGAGAGGACGGUACCCAAGGAGGAAGCCACGGCUAACUACGUGCCAGCAGCCGCGGUAAUACGUAGGUGGCGAGCGUUGUCCGGAAUUACUGGGCGUAAAGGGCGUGUAGGCGGUUUUUUAAGUCAGGCGUGAAAACCCGAGGCUUAACCACGGGAUUGCGUUUGAGACUGGAAGACUUGAGGAUCGGAGAGGGCAGUGGAAUUCCCAGUGUAGCGGUGAAAUGCGUAGAUAUUGGGAGGAACACCAGUGGCGAAGGCGGCUGCCUGGACGACACCUGACGCUGAGGCGCGAAAGCUAGGGGAGCAAACGGGAUUAGAAACCCUAGUAGUCC